rnacentral:lncRNA from 1 species
CUAAGGGGACCGCAUCAAGAGCUUGCUAUACCAGAAGUGCUCCCUCAACUACUGAUGUCCUUAGGAAUCAGAUUUUGAACUCCUUUACUUCUAAGCCUCAGAUCCAAAACACUACCCCCAAUGCCACUGUUUCAAUCAGUUUCGAGGGUUUCACUGCUCUGCCCCAAAAAACUACCUCUCCUAUUUUCACUAAUCGUGCUUCUACCAGCGAUCCCCACUGGAAACCUCUACCCCUCCCCC